rnacentral:rRNA from 1 species
UACGUAGGGUGCAAGCGUUGUCCGGAAUUAUUGGGCGUAAAGAGCUCGUAGGCGGUUUGUUGCGUCGGCUGUGAAAUCCCGAGGCUCAACCUCGGGUCUGCAGUCGAUACGAGCAAACUAGAGUGUUGCAGGGGAGACUGGAAUUCCUGGUGUAGCGGUGAAAUGCGCAGAUAUCAGGAGGAACACCGGUGGCGAAGGCUGGUCUCUGGGCAACAACUGACGCUGAGGAGCGAAAGCGUGGGGAGCGAACAGG